rnacentral:tRNA from 1 species
CGACGUUCUUGGAAAUGGACAUCUCGUUGUCGUUGAGGACGACGAUGAUAUCGCUUCUGAGGUGCCCGGCGUGGUUCAGGGCCUCGAAGGCCAU